GGUUUAAUGGUCUAGUGGUGAGGAUAUCGGAAUUAAUUUCUGGAGGGCCGGUUUCGAUUCCUGUUUGGCCA